GACGAACGCUGGCGGCGUGCUUAACACAUGCAAGUCGAGCGGUAAGGCCCUUUCGGGGGUACAUGAGCGGCGAACGGGUGAGUAACACGUGGGUGACCUGCCCUUAGCUCUGGGAUAAGCCUGGGAAACUGGGUCUAAUACCGGAUAUGACUCCAUGACGCAUGUUGUGGGGUGGAAAGCCUUGUGCGGCUAGGGAUGGGCCCGCGGCCUAUCAGCUUGUUGGUGGGGUGAUGGCCACCAAGGCGACGACGGGUAGCCGGCCUGAGAGGGCGACCGGCCACACUGGGACUGAGACACGGCCCAGACUCCUACGGGAGGGCAGCAGUGGGGAAUCUUGCGCAAUGGGCGAAAGCCUGACGCAGCGACGCCGCGUGAGGGAUGACGGCCU
rnacentral:rRNA from 1 species